UACGUAGGGUGCGAGCGUUAAUCGGAAUUACUGGGCGUAAAGCGUGCGCAGGCGGUUCGUUGUGUCGGCGGUGAAAGCCCCGGGCUUAACCUGGGAAUGGCCGUCGAAACUGGCGAACUGGAGUGUGGCAGAGGGGGGUGGAAUUCCGCGUGUAGCAGUGAAAUGCGUAGAGAUGUGGAGGAAUACCGAUGGCGAAGGCAGCCCCCUGGGAGUAACACUGACGCUCAUGCACGAAAGCGUGGGGAGCAAACAGG
rnacentral:rRNA from 1 species